UCAGAAUGGACCGAGAUAAUGUUGUGAAUUUUUUCACCUUGAUUUCAAAUCGGGAAGUGGAUUACUUGGAAGUUGGCUACAACAUCACUCCAAUUCUAGGAGUCAUCAGUGGGAGGGAGAGGGAUGGACUCACUGAUGUCCCCUGGAACCAAGCUCCUGUCUAACUCAUUCUUACGAAUCUCGCUGGGAGAUCGCUCAGAAUGGUUUUUUGGGGAGGCUACGAUGACGCAUUCCUCCAGAAUGCCAUCGGGCAGAUCUUAGCUGUAACUGGUGCUUAUGUCACCAUCAUGGAUCAUCGCUUUAUUCACUCGGAGGAUCCACAUCGACGACCAGUGAAUCUCAAUAUUAAUCCUUAUCCUUAUAUAUAAAGAAGAGCAUCGAGAAUCUCGAAUGAGCACUCGAACAGCACUCGAAUGAGAAUCGAUUGUAAAAAAAGUCGAACUCGAAACUCGAACAUGAGAACAAGCUUCGAUAAGAUCAUCAACAGAUGACAUUGCUCGGG